UUCCUGACUUUAAGUUACGAAGACAGUUGAACGAAGCCAAGAUGUCCGCCAAGAUCUUUCUUAUCCUUGCUUUCUGUGCUAUGCUGUUUUCUCUGACGUCCGCGUGUUGCAAGAAGUCCUGCUGUCACUCUGGCUCCUCCCACCAUAGCUCCUCCUCCAGCUACCCCAUCCCCUACCCCGUCCCCAUGCAUCACGGCAGCAGUGGUGGCCACAGCGGCAGCAACGGGGCCCAAGACGCCGCUCUACUUCAGGCACUCAUCAACGCUGGCAGGUAGAUGCUGACAGGUGACACGCACGAGGGCCACAACUGAAGAUAGAGUAAUAGAAAUACAAAUGUUGACGUGCAUCAAUAAACUGUGUGG